AUUGAACGCUGGCGGCAGGCCUAACACAUGCAAGUCGAGCGAGCGGCGGACGGGUGAGUAAUGUCUGGGAAAAUGCCUGAUGGAGGGGGAUAACUACUGGAAACGGUAGCUAAUACCGCAUACCAUCAGAUGUGCCCAGAUGGGAUUAGCUCGUGGGUGGGGUAACGGCGCACCUAGGCGCCGAUGCCUCGCUGGUCUGAGAGGAUGACCAGCCACACUGGAACUGAGACACUGUCCAUACGCCUACGGGAGGCAGCAGUGGGGAAUAUUGCACAAUGGGCGCAAGCCUGAUGCAGCCAUGCCGCGUGGGUGAAGAAGGCCUUCGGGUUGUAAAGCACUGUCAGCGGGGAGGCGUUACCCGCAGAAGAAGCACCGGCUAACUCCGUGCCAGCAGCCGCGGUAAUAC
rnacentral:rRNA from 1 species